rnacentral:rRNA from 1 species
CCUACGGGGGGCUGCAGUGAGGAAUAUUGGUCAAUGGGCGCGAGCCUGAACCAGCCAAGUAGCGUGAAGGAUGACUGCCCUACGGGUUGUAAACUUCUUUUAUAAAGGAAUAAAGUGAGGCACGUGUGCCUUUUUGUAUGUACUUUAUGAAUAAGGAUCGGCUAACUCCGUGCCAGCAGCCGCGGUAAUACGGAGGAUCCGAACGUUAUUCGGAUUUAUUGGGUUUAAAGGGUGCGGAGGCGGACUGUUAAGUCCGUGGGGAAAGUGUGUGGCUCAACCAUAGAAUUGCCGUUGAAACUGGGAGGCUUGAGUAUGUGUGAGGCAGGCGGAAUGCGUGGUGUAGCGGUGAAAUGCUUAGAUAUCACGCAGAACCCCGAUUGCGAAGGCAGCAUACCAAGCCAUGACUGACGCUGAUGCACGAAAGUGUGGGUAUCAAACAGGAUUAGAUACCCGUGUAGUC